rnacentral:rRNA from 1 species
ACUGAACGCUGGCGGCAUGCCUUACACAUGCAAGUCGAACGGCAGCAUGGAAGAGCUUGCUCUUCUGAUGGCGAGUGGCGAACGGGUGAGUAAAGCAUCGGAACGUACCGUGUAGUGGGGGAUAACGUAGCGAAAGUUACGCUAAUACCGCAUACGCACUGAGGUGGAAAGCAGGGGAUCGCAAGACCUUGCGCUAUACGAGCGGCCGAUGUCAGAUUAGCUAGUUGGUAGGGUAAAGGCCUACCAAGGCGACGAUCUGUAGCGGGUCUGAGAGGAUGAUCCGCCACACUGGGACUGAGACACGGCCCAGACUCCUACGGGAGGCAGCAGUGGGGAAUUUUGGACAAUGGGCGAAAGCCUGAUCCAGCCAUGCCGCGUGAGUGAAGAAGGCCUUCGGGUUGUAAACUGCUUUGUACGGUAACGAAAAGGUACUGGGUUAAUACCCUGGCUCAUGACGGUACCGUAAGAAUAAG